rnacentral:rRNA from 1 species
AACGAACGCUGGCGGCAUGCCUAACACAUGCAAGUCGAACGAGACCUUCGGGCCUUGUGGCGCACGGGUGCGUACCGCGGGGGAACCUGCCCUUAGGUUCGGAAUCACUCCCUGAAGGGGGUGCUCAUACCGGAUAAUGUCUUCGGACCAAAGAUGUAUCGCCUUUGGCUGGGCCCGCGUUGGAUUAGCGGGUUGGUAGGGUACAAGCAUACCAAGGCGAGGUUCCAUAGCUGGUGUGAUAGGAUGAUCAACUACGCUGGGACUGAGACACGGCCCAGACUCGGACGGGAGGGAGCAGUAGGGAAUAUUAUACGAGGGGCGAAAGCGUGAUCAAGCAAUGCCGCGGGAGUGAGGAAGGCCGUAGGGUUGUAAAGCUCUUUUACCCGGGAUGAUAAUGACAGUACCGGGAGAAUAAGCACCGGCUAACUCCGUG